AUGCAUUCAUGUAGAUUUCCCCCAUUGUUGUUCCUCAAUAAAAGGCACGACCAAACUGGAGGAAUCUCAGCCACACUUGCUGUGUGUCUGGUUUACGCCCUUCUGCAGAAGUCGCUUGCCAUCGAAGACAUCUCCUGCCUCUAAAAGGAUCCAAAGCGUGUUCUGCCUUACAGCCCUGAGGAGGACAUGUGGCCAGGCGUGGCACACCAUCCGUUCCCUGAAGGAGUAAUGGCAGAGACUGCAGCACGGACAGAAAGCAGCAAACAUGAGCUUGCUGAGACAAAACUCAUCCCUCUCCAAGCAGAAGAACGAGAUGGUGUCCAUGCACCAGAGACUCAUGGCCAAGCUGGACUUCUUCGACACCACCCUUCAUAUAGACAUGGACAAAUACCAGCAGACUGCCACCGGAAUUGGUAUCGUGUUAACUUUGUUUCUUUGAAUGGGAACAGAUCAUUGGAUUAAUUUAAUUUGAAUGCAAUUUGAUGGUGGACCUUACCAGAAAUGGACUGAAGUACAAUCAGCGGUGAAGAUAGUAUUAGAAGUUCCGAUGGAUUUGAAGUCCAUCAUCGCCUUAUCCAACAUGUAUUUAUACGGUGUGUAUUACAGAGUGUGCUUGUGGCCGAGUGGUUAAGGAGACUAGAAAUCCAUUGGGGUUUCACCUCACAUGUCCAGGUACUGCUGAACACGAUCCAGAUUUUCAAGAAUGUGGUGUAAUAUGAGAUACUCAUCACAUUUGGACCGUGUACAUUACACAGUGUGUUGUUAUGGCUGAGUGGUUAAGGCGAUGGACUAGAAAUACAUUGGGGUCUCCCCUCGCAAGUUCAAAUCCUGCUGACAACAAUUCAGAUUUUAAAUUAGAAUCUUGCCAGAUCCUCGCAAAAUGCAUUUUGACAAUGUGAGGUCACCCCAAUUUUGUUGCUGUGGCCGAGUGGUUAAGGCGAUGGACAUGAUAUCCUUCGCGGUCUCCCCUCGCAGGUUCGAGUCCGACAAUGAUCCAAAAUGUUUUAGAACCUAAUGGUGUAUUAUGAGAUACUCACCACAUGCAUUUUAACAUUGUGUGUCACAGCGUGUGCUGUGGAAAAGUGGUUAAGGUGAUGGACUAGAGUUCCUUUGGGUCUCCCUUCGCAGGUUCAGCGCCUGCUGACAAUUCAGAUUUCGAAUAUUCCUGCUAGCUCCUUGCAAUAUGCAUUUUGACAAUGUGAAGACCUCACCAUUGUGUGUUGUUGUGGCCAAGUGGUUAAGGAAAUACACUUGAAAUCCGUAGGGGUCUCACCCGGCAGGUUCAGGUCCUGCCGAAGAUGAUCCAUAUUGUUUAUUAGAUUCUAAUGGGGCAUUAUGAGAUACUCACCACAUGCAUUGUAACAUUACCCAGUAUAGUUUGUGUUGUUGUAGCCGAGUGGUUAUGGUCCCCUCUCAUGUUCGAAUCCUGCUGACAACAGAUCAGUUUGAAUUUAGAUUCUUGCAAUAUGCAUUUGGACAAUGUGAGGACUUAGCCAAAGUGUGUUGUUGUGGCCACAUGGUUAAGGCGAUGGAUUUGACAUCCUUUGGCGUCUCACCUUGCAGGUUCGAAUCCUGUCGGCAACUAUAUAGCUUAUGUAUUAGAAUCUCGAUGUGUUACCAGAUUCUCACCAUAUGCAUUUUGACAAUGUGAAGACCUUGGACAAAUUUCUUAGCUGUGUACCUGUCCCCGAGUGGUUAAGGCGAUAGACUAUAAAUGCAUUGGGGUCGCGCCUUGCAGGUUCGGAUCCUGCAGACGCCAAUUCAGAUAUUGAAUUAGAAUCUUACUAGAUCCUUGCAAUAUGCAUUUUGACAAUAUGAGGACCUCACCAAUCUGUGUUGUUGUGGGCGAGUGGUUAAGGCGAUGGGCUUGCAAUGUAUUGGAGUCUCGUCUCGCAGGUUCGAAUCCUGCUGACUACGAUUCAGAUUUUGAAUUAGAAUCUUGCCAGAUCCUUGCAAUAUGCAUUUUGACAAUGUGAGAACCUCUAUAAUGUGUGUUUUUGUGGCCGAGUGGUUAAGGUGAUGGACUAGAAAUCCAUGGGGGUUCCCCCUUGCAGGUUCGAAUCCUGACACCAAUGAUACAGCUUUUGUAUUAGAUUACCGGACCGGCCACAUAGACUCUGUCCGAAAGAAGGCCCAGCAGAGGCUGUACUUCCUGAGACAGCUCAAGAAGUUCAACCUGCCGCAGGAGCUGCUGAAGACCUUCUACACUGCCAUAAUCCAGUCUGUCCUCUGCACCUCCAUCACUGUUGAACUGGACUGCCCUUACACCUGUUUAUCGACCCCGUGGCCAUUUUGUGUGUUUUGGGGCGUUCUCUGAUAUUGAGGGGUGCUGGUUGGCCGCUGUUACUUUUUUUCCUUUAUCAAACCCUCUGUGUAACUCCAAAUCAUUAAAGUCAUCGAUCGAGUUGGUUCUCCUUUAUGUAAACAAGUCUGACGUCAGCGGCGCGUUGCAGUUAACAUUUUUCUACAGGCCCAUAUGACAAUAUAUAAACUAUGUAUUAAAUGACAAUAAUAUAAACAACAAUUUUAUCGAACCAUCCGUGUCACUCCAAAUCAAUAAAUCCAUCAGAAUCUUCGUCUUCCGUGUCACUUGAGAAAAAAGAAAAGAAAAAGACAAAAAAAAUGACGCCGGAAAGACUACAUGUGCCACGGACGUCAGACUAGAUAUAUCAAAUAAAUAUAAUAGAAACAACAAUUUUAACAAACCAUCUGUGUCACUCCAAAUCAUUAGAUCCACCGGAAUAGUCAUCCUCUGUGUCAACCCUCCCCCCCCCCCCCCAAAUAAACAGCUGUCGAUUCCUGACCUACGUGCGGCGCUGAUGUCAGCCUCGUUGUCAGUUGGCGGCUCCAAUUAUUCCACAGAUCUACGUAUAUAACUACAUUGUAGCAUUACCGAAGUACCAGACAAGACGUGGGUUUGGUAACAGGCCGGUGUUGUGCUUGAUUUGGUUCCCCCGUGAGAUUUUGUUUCCCCUGCCGCGGGAGCGCGCACACCUUAUUUGGAAAGCGAAAAACCGAUGUCGUACGGCGUCGUACGGCGUCAGCACUACGUUGUUUUCAAUAAAAACAUGAAGAACUCA